rnacentral:misc_RNA from 1 species
GAUGAAGAACGCAGCGAAAUGCGAUACGUAAUGUGAAUUGCAGAAUUCAGUGAAUCAUCGAGUCUUUGAACGCACAUUGCGCCCCCUGGUAUUCCGGGGGGCAUGCCUGUCCGAGCGUCAUUGCUGCCCUCAAGCACGGCUUGUGUGUUGGGUCUCGUCCCCCUUCCCGGGGGGACGGGCCCGAAAGGCAGCGGCGGCACCGCGUCCGGUCCUCGAGCGUAUGGGGCUUUGUCACCCGCUCUGUAGGCCCGGCCGGCGCUUGCCGAUCAACCAAAACUUUUUUCCAGGUUGACCUCGGAUCAGGUAGGGAUACCCGCUGAACUUAAGCAUAUCAAUAAGCGGAGGA